ensembl:snRNA U6 U6 spliceosomal RNA
UUGCUCUGGCAGCAUAUAAACGAACCCUGGAGCCACACAGAGAAGAUUAACACGGCUCUUGCGCUAGGAUGACGUGCAAAGUCACCGAAGGUUUUAUAUUUUUU